UCUUAUGCAUAAGCAAAGAGAGUGGUUUCUUGAGAUGAAAUCUACCUCUGCUGAAGAUGCUGUGAA
rnacentral:pre_miRNA from 1 species